GUAGGGAAUAUUGGUCAAUGGACGAAAGUCUGAACCAGCCAUUCCGCGUGCAGGAAGAAGAUUCUAUGGAUUGUAAACUGCUUUUAGCAGAGAAGAAACGCCUUCAUUGAUGAGGGUUUGACGGUAUCUGCGGAAUAAGCACCGGCUAACUCCGUGCCAGCAGCCGCGGUAAUACGGGGGGUGCAAGCGUUAUCCGGAAUCACUGGGUUUAAAGGGUGCGUAGGCGGGAAAUUAAGUCAGUGGUGAAAGUCUGUUGCUUAACGAUAGAAUUGCCGUUGAUACUUAUUUUCUUGAAUUGGGUUGAGGUUAGCGGAAUGUGACAUGUAGCGGUGAAAUGCAUAGAUAUGUCAUGGAACACCAAUUGCGAAGGCAGCUAGCUGGGCCUUGAUUGACGCUGAGGCACGAAAGCGUGGGUAGCGAACAGGAUUAGAAACCCCGGUAGUCC
rnacentral:rRNA from 1 species